rnacentral:rRNA from 1 species
CGCGUGGCAACGUGCCCUUCUCUGCGGAAUAGCCACUGGAAACGGCGAGUAAUACCGCAUACGCCCUUCGGGGGAAAGAUUUAUCGGAGAAGGAUCGGCCCGCGUUAUAUUAGAUAGUUGGUGGGGUAACGGCCUACCAAGUCUACGAUCUAUAGCUGGUUUUAGAGGAUGAUCAGCAACACUGGGACUGAUACACUGCCCAGACUCCUACUGGAGGCAGCAGUGGGGAAUCUCAGACAAUGUGCGCAAGCCUGAUCUAGCCAUGCCGCGUGUGUGAUGAAGGUCUUAGGAUCGUUAAGCACUUUCUCCCGGGAUGAUAAUGACUUUACCUGGUAUAGAAACCCCGGCUAACUCCGUGCCUGUAUCCGCGUUAAUACGGACGGGGUUAGCGUUGUUCGUAUUUACUGGGCGUAAAGCGCGCGUUGGCGGAUUGGAU